GUCAGGUUGGCCGAAUGGUCUGAGGCGCUGCAUUCAGGUCGCAGUCUCCCCUGAAGCCGUGUGUUUGAAUCCCACUUCUGACA
rfam:Xenopus tropicalis strain Nigerian Chr08_contig_2260, whole genome shotgun sequence.